rnacentral:tRNA from 1 species
UUUAAUUUGGUCUAGUGGUUAAGGCACUUGAGUAGAAAGCAAGGGACUAUGAGUUCAAGUCCUGUGAUGAAAG